rnacentral:rRNA from 1 species
ACCUACGGGACGCAGCAGUCGGGAAUAUUGCGCAAUGGAGGAAACUCUGACGCAGUGACGCCGCGUAUAGGAAGAAGGUUUUCGGAUUGUUAACUAUUGUCUUGAGGGAGGAAAUUGACAGUACCUCAGGAGGAAGCUCCGGCUAACUAUGUGCCAGCAGCCGCGGUAAUACAUCGGGAGCAGGCGUUAUCCGGAUUUAUUGGGUGUAAAGGGUGCGUAUUCGGGAUAUUAAGUUAGUUGUGAGAUCCCUCGGCUUAACUGAGGAACUGCAACUAAAACUGAUUUUCUUGAGUACUGGAG